GAACGAGAAAGUGGAGCAAUCCAUGAGUAAAGUGGCGCACGGGUGAGUAACACGUGACUAACCUACCCUUGAGUGGGGGAUAACCUGGGGAAACCUUGGCUAAUACCGCAUAACACCUACGGGUCAAAGGAGCAAUUCGCUUAAGGAGGGGGUCGCGGCAGAUUAGCUAGCUGGCGGGGUAAUGGCCCACCAAGGCAGUGAUCUGUAUCCGGCCUGAGAGGGCGCACGGACACACUGGAACUGAAACACGGUCCAGACUCCUACGGGAGGCAGCAGUGGGGAAUUUUGCGCAAUGGGGGAAACCCUGACGCAGCAACGCCGCGUGGAGGAUGAAGUCCCUUGGGACGUAAACUCCUUUCGAUCGGGACGAUAAUGACGGUACCGAGAGAAGAAGCCCCGGCUAACUUCGUGCCGGCAGCCGCGGUAAUACGAGGGGGGCGAGCGUUGUUCGGAAUUAUUGGGCGUAAAGGGUGCGUAGGCGGUUCGGUAAGUCUUAUGUGAAAUCUUCGGGCUCAACUCGAAGUCUGCAUGAGAAACUGCCGGGCUUGAGUGUGGGAGAGGUGAGUGGAAUUUCCGGUGUAGCGGUGAAAUGCGUAGAUAUCGGAAGGAACACCUGUGGCGAAAGCGGCUCACUGGACCACAACUGACGCUGAUGCACGAAAGCUAGGGGA
rnacentral:rRNA from 1 species